AUUGAACGCUGGCGGCAGGCCUAACACAUGCAAGUCGAACGAGUGGCGGACGGGUGAGUAAUGUCUGGGAAAAUGCCCGAUGGAGGGGGAUAACUACUGGAAACGGUAGCUAAUACCGCAUACCAUCGGAUGUGCCCAGAUGGGAUUAGAUAGUGGGUGGGGUAACGGCUCACCUAGGCGAAGAUCCCUAGCUGGUCUGAGAGGAGGACCCGCCACACGGGAACUGAGACACGGUCCACACUCCUACGUGAGGCAUCAGUGGGUAAUAUUGGACAAUGGUCGCAAGCCUGAUGCAGCCAUGCCGCGGGUAUGAAGAAGGCCUUCGGGUUGUAAAGUACUUUCAGCGAGGAGGCGUUACUCGCAGAAGAAGCACCGGCUAACUCCGUGCCAGCAGCCGCGGUAAUAC
rnacentral:rRNA from 1 species